rnacentral:rRNA from 1 species
UACGUAGGGGGCAAGCGUUGUCCGGAUUUAUUGGGCGUAAAGAGCGUGUAGGCGGCCUGACAAGUCUGCUGUGAAAACUCGAGGCUCAACCUCGAGAUGUCGGCGGAAACUGUCUGGCUAGAGUCCGGAAGAGGAGGGUGGAAUUCCUGGUGUAGCGGUGAAAUGCGUAGAUAUCUGGAGGAAUACCGGUGGCGAAGGCGGCAUCCUGGACCGGCAUUGACGCUGAACAGCGAAAAGCUAGGGGAGCAAACCGGGAGUUAGAAAACCCUGG